AAAAAAUAAUAAACUGUUACCUGAUUUUUUUUUCAUUGUGCCCUUGAGCAAGGCACUUAACCUCAAUUGCUCCAGGGAUGCCGUUAAUGUCUGACCCUAUCUAAAGACCCCAGCUCUCUGCGGGUGUUGGGAUUUGCAAGAAACACAUGUCCAACUCACACCUGGACAAGUGUGAAAUAGGACAAAUAACAGCAGCUACUGUAGUCACCAUCUAGUGAGUCUGACCUGAAAUAACCCCUGAACAGAGAUGAGUACUGAAUUGCAUGGCAUCUAAAGGCACAUUUAAAAGUGUCCCUUUCAAAUAAGGGGAUCUGCUGUACCGAUGUUAUGUCAGGAAAAGUCAGCAAUCUGUCGUGGUAAAAAAAUGUUUUGUCAUCCAAUAGGCUUUGAUUACAUUUCCAAUAUCCUUGCGCACGUGGAAAUUCUGUAAGAGUAAUAUUUAUGCCAAUUAUUUUAUGUUCCGACCGCAUUCUGUCUGCUAUCAACACUUAACUUUUGGUGGCAGCGAGAAUGACAUAAGAAAGUUGUCAAGAUGACGAGCUUGAUUGAGCCUCCGCCAUGUAUAUCUCACUAACCUUUUUUGUUGUGUGAUUUCAUGCCACACCCGUUGAAGUAGGCUGGCCAAAAAGAGAACAGAAUAUUAUAUAAACAAGAUGGUGUACUUCAGGCCACACCUGUAAAGUAGCCAAUACGAACUAUAGAGAGCAGCCAUUUCAAGAGUUACAGAAAAACCACGAGCUGGUAAACUACAGACUGCAGCUAUUUCAAGUGCAAACGCAAGGAAGAAGAUGAACAGAAAGGCAAGAAGUGAUCAUCAAACUUACAUUGAGCCAUACUGGAAAUGCAUCUCCCGAGGAGAAGGACUGUGAGUCUAGAGGGAGUCAUUCCAUCAACACCAGCUACAGUGUUUAUUGUAUUUCAGGUCACACCUGUAGUCAAAUCCAUGAAGUACAAAGCUGUGUCUCUACCCUGUUCAACUUGUAUAUGGUCUAGUUGUUAUUUCAAUGCUGUGUCUCUACCCUGUUCAACUUGUAUAUGGUCUAGUUGUUAUUUCAAUGCUGUGUCUCUACCCUGUUCAACUUGUAUAUGGUCUAGUUGUUAUCUACAAAGCCGUGACUCUGCCCUGUUCAACUUGUAUAUGGUCUAGAUGUUAUCUACAAUGCUGUGUCUCUACCCUGUUCAACUUGUAUAUGGUCUAGAUGUUAUCUACAAUGCUGUGUCUCUAUCCUGUUCAACUUGUAUAUGGUCUAGAUGUUAUCUACAAUGCUGUGUCUCUACCCUGUUCAACUUGUAUAUGGUCUAGAUGUUAUCUACAAUGCUGUGUCUCUACCCUGUUCAACUUGUAUAUGGUCUAGUUGUUAUCUACAAAGCCGUGACUCUGCCCUGUUCAACUUGUAUAUGGUCUAGUUAUCUACAAUGCUGUGUCUUAUCAGUUGGUUGAUGAAAUGAAACCUUUCUGCUAGUUUCUUACUUCUUAUCUCUACUUUCAUCAUCUCUCUAAGCUGACAUUGAAUUGUUUUAAGAUGUCAUACUAUGGAUCAAUUAGCUAUUCGAUUUAGAAUUUUAGAUUGCCUUUAAGUCACCUAAAAAAAUAUAAAACAAUUAUUUUUUGAAAAUAUUGAAUUUAAUUGAAAUGAUAUAGAAACAUUGAUUAAACCAGUGUGUACCCAGGCUGACGUUUGGAUUAAGUCUUGUGUCAGGUGUCCUCACCUUAAGUCUAAUAAUUUUUUCUGAAUCUCAAAACUCUUCCCUUUUAAUGAUCCCAUGGUUAUGCCUUCCAUAUUUAUUCUGUAAGAAACAUUUCAAUUUAGCCCUAUCCAUAAAAGCCAAUUCCCACGAGUGUAAAGGGUUAAAGUCAACGGUAGCAUGAAAACCUUGUACCAAGACAUUUUAGCCAAAAAGCUGGUUGUGUAGCGGGGUGCGUAAUUGGCGGCAGAGAAGUCAGGCACAGGAGAGCAGAACUGGGUAAUAACCGGAGAUUUAUUGAACAAAACCAACGGAAUCCAGAACAACAAGAUAAAUGGGCACAUAAAUAACCUGUCGUGCGCUCGCGGGGAACGUUCACAAGCAUUACAAAUAAACAAUCCCACACAAAAACAUGGGGGAACAGAGGGUUAAAUACACAACAACAAAUUGAAACCAGGUGUGAGGAAAAAC